GAUGAAGAACGUAGCGAAAUGCGAUAAGUAAUGUGAAUUGCAGAAUUCAGUGAAUCAUCGAAUCUUUGAACGCACCUUGCACCCUUUGGCAUUCCGAAGGGUAUGCUCGUUUGAGUGUCAUUGUACUCUCACUCUCCCGAUACUUUUGGAUCGGGAGUGGUGGACUUGGGUGCAGCUGCUUAACUGUGGCUCGCCUUAAAUGAAGUAGUGCAACUCUCGGUUGGACAUAGUACGGCGUGAUAAGUGUCUUCGCCGGCGCCUCAUUCGAGGGUGGCCGAUCGGGAGCUCUGUGCUUCAAACUGUCUUCGGACAACAUCUGACAACUUGACCUCAAAUCGAGUAGGACUACCCGCUGAACUUAAGCAUAUCAAUAAGCGGAGGA
rnacentral:misc_RNA from 1 species